rnacentral:lncRNA from 1 species
AUGAACAUGGUUGCUCAAAUCAUCGGGGACAAAGUGGGAGACAUGGUGGAGGGCGCGGUGAAAAAGACUCUGGGUAUUGAGGAAAAGGAGAAGAAAGGAGGAGUCAAGUCUUGGUUUGGGGGUGACAAAGAAAAGGAGAAGGGAAAAGGAGGAAUCUUUUCCUCUGGGCAUGACGAAAAGAAAAAGGGUGGAGAUGAACAAAAAGGAGGAGGAUUCUUCUCAAAGGUCUUUCACAGAGAUGACGAAGAUGAAAAGGACAACAAGCAGAAGAAAUCUGGAUUUCAAGGCCUGUUUGCUGAAGGCACAGAAGGAGGUGCUACGGGAGGAGGAGAUGCUAUGGGAGAAGACGCUAUGGGAGGAAGUGAUGUGGAUGGUGGAAGUGAAGGACAAACUUUAGCUGUGACUGACAGAGAUCUGUUUGAUGAUUUGAUUGAUGUGGCAAGCGAAACAUCUAAGGAAAACUAA